GGCGGGGGCCUUUCAGGCAUCCUCUCCCAAAAAACUUAUCCAGCCGGCUCAUGUGGCCGGCUUUUUUUUUCGACCUG
rnacentral:sRNA from 1 species